AUGAACGCUAGCGGCAGGCCUAAUACAUGCAAGUCGAACGGUAAGGCCCUUUCGGGGGUACACGAGUGGCGGACGGGUGCGUAACGCGUAUGCAACAUACCUUCCAGCGGGGGAUAUGCCGGGGAAACUCGGUGCAACACCCCAUAGCAUUCCGGGGUCACAUGGCCCUGGGAUUAAAUCUCCGGAGCUGGAAGAUUGGCAUGCGUGACAUUAGCUAGUUGGCGGGGUAACGGCCCACCAAGGCGACGAUGUCUAGCUGGUCUGAGAGGAUGAUCAGCCACACUGGGACUGAGACACGGCCCAGACUCCUACGGGAGGCAGCAGUAGGGAAUAUUGGACAAUGGGGGGAACCCUGAUCCAGCCAUGCCGCGUGAGGGAAGAAGGUCCUCUGGAUUGUAAACCUCUUUUGGCGGGGGACAAACCUGCGCUAUACGCGCAGCUGAGGGUACCCGCAGAAUAAGCACCGGCUAACUCCGU
rnacentral:rRNA from 1 species